rnacentral:rRNA from 1 species
UAAAGCCCUUUCAGUGGGAACGAUGAUGACGGUACCCACAGAAGAAGCCCCGGCUAACUCCGUGCCAGCAGCCGCGGUAAUACGGAGGGGGCGAGCGUUGUUCGGAAUUAUUGGGCGUAAAGCGCGCGUAGGCGGCUUGUUAAGUCAGAAGUGAAAGCCCCGGGCUUAACCCGGGAACUGCUUUUGAAACUGGCAGGCUUGAGUCCGGCAGAGGGUGGUGGAAUUCCCCGUGUAGAGGUGAAAUUCGUAGAUAUGGGGAGGAAGACC